CAAAUUGCUAAGAUCAAUGCAACCAUUUAACUGAGUUUCAUUUUGACAAAAGGCAAUCUGUGGCGAUAUUGCUUUAGAAGUAAGAUGAAAUGCAUAAAUUCAGAUAAAACAUUUUGCCGAUUGCCUGGCUGAAAUAACUGGUUAUUAUUAUUGUUAUUACCAUUAGAAGACAAAAAAAUGGUCUCCCAGUUUUCAGCAUAUGCUACUCUUAAGUAGAAGGACCUUUAACAAAAGCUAAGUGUCCAGGCCUUGGUUUACUCAUCAAAGCAAAUGACCACAUCAGAUGUUCCCUGGGAGCCUUCUGACAUUUAGCAUUUGGUGAUUUUAUCAUCUCACUCCAAGUAAAGGAAGCAGCAAAACCUCUCUGAUUGUAUUUUGAGGUCUCUGCAUAAAUAACUGUAAAGCAUAUUUGACCACAUUAUGAGAAAAUUUGUAAAAUAAAUUUUAUUUGGAAUGCCUACUUGAACUGGAAAUUAACAAUUAGAGGACAUGACUUCCCUGAUGUUUACCUCAUUAGAAAAUGUCUUGGACAAAACGCUGGCAAAAAUCUUCUCUUGAAAACAAUCCUUUAUUAUUUAAAAGGUGGAAUUUAUGCCCCCCAAAUUUAUCUUUCUAAUGAUAUUUAACCCAUUUUGCAUAGCUCGUGUUUUCUUUUGUCCAAUGUUUAAACUAGCUUUUAUUUUUUUAAUGAUUAGAAGCUUGAACAUGUAAAAAAAAAAACAUUAAUGACUUUCAUAGCAUGAACCAGGAAAACAUUUAAAAUCUGUUAAACCUAGUAAUAAUUAUUUCAAAAUGUUGCCUACUAAUGAUGACUUACUAAUUAUCACUUUGUUGUCUUAGUAACUACCUACCCUUGCUGAAGAGUUGACAGAUUUUCAAAUCUACAGAUUGUGACAUAUAAGAAUGUGUGAAACCUGGUGGGUGAGCCAUCUUAGGCCUCAGUUUCUCCAUGUGAAAUGGGAGGAACUGGGCUGAACGAGAUCUAGGUUGUCCUUCCAUUCUGAGUGUGUUCUCUCAAGAUAAUGCUUGUGUUAAUAAGGACUGCAGGGCUCAGUCAGUCAAUGGGUUAUGUUCCUUAAACCUUAUCCAAAACAUCCCGGGUGUUAUGUGUUUCAAAAUUCAGAUUUUUUACAUUUCUUUUGGAUUUUAUAAUGGUAAUACAUUACAAAACAGUAUAUUAUAUAAUCCCCCCAGCAAGGUAUGGGGCAGCUCCAUGUAAUUAAGCUCAUUAUGGAUUCUGUGGCCACUGGUAUGAAAUUGAGGGCGGUGACAAUCAGGGACUCUAAAUAGGUUGUCAUUAGCUCAGGUCAGUUACUGUGGCUAAACACAUUACGGACAAUCUUUUUUUCUUUUUUUUCCUAUUUGUUUUUACUGCAUUUUGGAUUUCAGAAUGGUGGAUAAAGAUUGCGAAUUUGCACAGCUAUAAAGCUUACUAAUUAAAGACUACAAACACAAAGAGAGCAAGCCUUGUGAUGACUGCACAAUAACGAGGAUUCAGAUACAACGUGGUCGCCACCUGACGCCCACCUCCACAAAAAGCCAUUCUCAAAAGGAGAGAGACAUUCAUAUCCAGAAGAGGGAGUCGGCUGUAGGGUAGAGGUAUGAAAUUCUCAGUCAGUUUUUACUUUGUUGGUUCCAGUAUGAUUUUCAUUAUCCUUACUUUUGUGUUUUUUAUGGCAAUGUAAACAUACAAACUAGUGGGAAACAAUGCGGUCUUUUAUUAAUUUGCAGUAACCCACAUUGUAAGCAAUGCAAUGAUUCAGACCUUAGUUAUCAAGAGGUUUUAUUAUAGAACCACUAGUAACUCAUAGACUCUUCCUGUUAUGUGAAAUAAAUGAAGACCAGCCAACUAAGAAAGGCAAAGGCUAUGUAUUCUGAGCUCAUCUGGAUCAGAGGAGUCAGCACUGUCAUUUGUGUUUGGCAGAGACUGAAAGGCAGCAUGCAGUUUAGGCUGCUAACAACAGCAUGAGGGCAACCUGCUGUGGUGACCUAAGCUAUGACACCCCACCCCAAGUCCGGGAUGCAGCUAACUGAGCAAACUGCAUGAACUGGGAGGCGGCCGACCAUUGUUCACGCCUCUCCUUCGCGUAUGUGUUUUCUACUGUUCUUGCACUGUAAAGGCAGAGGUUGCAUCGGGCCCUUAUGCAAAGCCCCAAAUAAUUACUGGCUGACUCUUCUCAGGGAACAUUUGCUAACCCUGUCACAAGCCAUAAGGUUCCACCACAGAUUGCCCUGUGGCUCUCUCGUUACGUUUCUGUGUGGACGUUUCCACAUGGUCUGAGGCAUUCAUCCAAGAAGAGCAGGAUGUAUUAGUGACUGCACAGAUUCUGCCUUGGCCCACAAAGAGGACAUCCAGGGCAGUCCUGGUCAUCUGUAAUAACAUUGCCCAGUGAGUUGAGGCUGACCUGAGUACUGACUUGGGUUGAGUUGGUGUCACUGAUCACUUCAGCCAAAGAUGGGACAUUUCUUAGCACCUGUUCUGAUUGGCUGACUUCUAUGGUCAGGAUAACGGCUCUCAGGAUGCGUAUAACUGCCAAGUCUCUCCGGGAAGCUUCCCUGGGUUACCAAGGAAUCCUCAUGUCUGAGAGAGCUCCACCAUCAUCCAAGGGCCACACGGAGUUUCUUGCAAUGCUUCAAGGUCUCCUGUAAUAACUCCUAUGAUAGAAGUCACUGUGUUUUGGGGAGGUAGACUGCAGCAUGCAGUUUUGACAGCAUGACCAAGGUCAUUGUUCAGGUCUGAUUAUUCAAAUUCAAAAAACUGCAACCUCAGGCAUAAAAGAUUAAGGAUGGAGCCCAAGUCUCUGGGUCCCCAAGGGGGACUGAAGCACAUACUCACCCAUCUGAAUAUGCUGGAGAACAGGAAGGAGAGACUCAAGCUUGUCUGGGUCUGUUGGAUACAGACUCUCCCAUCUCCACCCCAUCAGGUCCUAUGGAGGCCCAAGUUCAGCUGAUGAAGUUAAGGGAGUGCUCAGUGCAGAAGGGUGGGAGGGCACUUGGGGCAUUUUGGGGUCCUGUUUUUGUUGCUUCUGCAUCUGAUACAGCAGGAAUUGAAGUAUUGCACACUUGUCCUUCCCAUUUCCAAGUGCUGCCUUCCCAUCAGUAAGAGCCACAGUUAGAGAGGGACCAACAGGAGGAUAACUCCCACAUGCUUAGCAUUCCAAUAAUGGAACACUAGGCAUAAAUUGAUAAGAUGCUUUCAAUGCAAUCAGUACUCUGCCAGGAUUCACUAAGUAGAGAAUGACUAAAUAUUUACCCAUCUCCUAACAAAAAUGCACAACUGAGGACAGAUGUUUUGCACUUUUAUGUGUCUACGGACUGUGUAAGAGGAUUUGGCUGGGUCAUCAUCUUCUUCUUCUUCUUAGACUGGUUGAUGGUGACCGUUCAUUGAUCCAAUAUGGUAAAGUCAUGUCCUGGUCUGUGUUCUUCGGGGUCCACAACCCUCUUUAACAGCCUGUUGUAAGGUUCUCGACCACGUCACUGUCUAGCUAAACCAUUCUGCAUUUCAGUAGGUAAACCAGCAGGAGGGCUUAAAAACCACAUUGCCCUGUCCACAUCCCUAUUUCUGAUUCUUUUCUGGCCUGCGAUCCUACAUCUCUAUCCUCACUUUAAACUGUUUUCCUCUUUUCUUCUCCUUUUUCCUGACCUCCUUUAUGUUUUUCAUUUCUCCUCCAUCUGAAUAUACCAAACCAUCCUUUUGCUUCCUCUUUUCUCUUCAUUAAUUAUUCUAGGGGCUAUUUUUUUUAUUAGGAAGAUGUAUUAUUUUAACAUGCUUUAUAAAGUUAGUGGCAUUAAGGAAUUAAUGUCCUUGGAAACUCAUACAUGUUCAGCUUCUAGAAACCCCUGAUUCCAAGGAGCAAAAACAUGCCAUCUCUGACAGUGUCCACAAGAACAAUACCAGAUCAGACGAUAAAGCCAACACACAGCAUAGCCAAUGGCCACACAUCCAGAAAACACUCUCAACAAAUUUAACCCUUCAGUAUUCACUGUAGCCAAUAUAUAUUCAAUAUAUAUAGCUGACUUUGUUUUUAUAUUUGAUGAAGUCCUGCUAUUUGAAAUAAAAUAAUCAAACCAACAACAACAACAACAAAAACCCCAUACAUGGUGAUAGCAUAUGUGAGGCAGUAGCAAUUUCUCCAUCUUUUCUGUCCUGUCUUUCCUGUUCUUCGUUCCCAUGCUAAGAAGGGAUGGAUAUAUCUCGGAGAUUACACAGGUUCUAGUCAAAGACUUCAUUGUGAACGUUUGUUUCACAUUUUCCCUGGAUAAGGACUAAUUAAAAGUUUGGAAAAGUAUACCUUUUUUUUUUUUUUUUUUUGCAAACUUACCCAUAUUAUGUGCUUUUUCUUGAUACAGCUGCUAAUCUUUGCUGUAUAUGUAGUGUUAGGAAGUCUACUUUAAUACACACACACACGUUUAAUGAGGUAAAAUAUGCAUAACAUAAUUACCAUUUUAACAAUUUUUAAGUGUAGAGUUCAGGGGCAAGUACGUUCAUGUUCUUGUGCAACUAUCACCACCAUUUUUUCUCCAGAACCCUUUUUAUCAUCUCAAACUGAAACUCUGCACCCACUGAACAAUAACUCCCCGUUCUCUCCUCCUCCUAGACCCUGGUAACCCCUCAUCUAUUUUCUGUCUCUGUGUAUUUGACUAUUCUAGGUACCACAUUAACGUGGACUUACACAGUAUUCGUCCUUUUGUGACUGGCUUAGUUUAUUUAGCAUAAGAUCCCCAAGGUUCAGCCGGGUGCCGUGGCUCAUGCCUGAAAUCCAAGCACUUUGGGAGGCCAAGGUGGGUGGAUCACCUGAGGUCAGGAGAUUGAGACCAGCCUGGCCAACACGGUGAAACCUCAUCUCUACUAAAAUACAAAAAUUAGCUGGGCCUGGUGGCGGGCGCCUGUAAUCCUAGCUACUAGGUAGGCUGAGGCAGGAGAUUAGCUUGAACCUGGGAGGCGGAGGUUGCAGUGAGCAGAGAUGGGACCACUCCACUCCAGCUUGGGCAACAGAGCAAGACCCUGUCUCAAAAAAAAAAAAUUCAAGGUUCAUCCAUGCUGUGGCAUGUGUCAUAAUUUCAUUUCUUCAUAUUCCUGAAAUACAUUUCUAAAUAUAAAUUUUUCAUUACUGUUUUCAUUUCAAGUUAAGUUUAUCAGAUCCUGUAGUCCAGGGACUUCAGUCUCUUUGAAUUAUGUCUUUCUUGGACAAUUUGGGAGCUCUUUUGAGAAACUGAAUACAAUUUGAAUACACUAAAAUCUGAAUCACACCAUAGAUAACGACAUAGUGUCUUAGUGAGAAGAAAUUUGAUUCUGCUGACUAGGAUACUAAAGUUUGACCUUUAUGGUCAUCUCUUAAUAAAAUAAAAGGAGAGCACUGGGCUAUUAAAUAGUUUAUUCAUGGAUCAUAGGGUGAAUAAGACCUAGAUCCUAGAGGAAAUCCUCCCCACAAAGACACUCAGACUUUUAUUCCUGUCAAUGUUCUUGUGGAUUUCAGGGAGCAAUGAUGGCUAUAAAUCUGCAACUCAUAGCAUUUCAGGCUAAACACAUUCAGCCUUUAUUACCAUUGUUCAUUUGACCUCUUUAUCCAAUUUUUUUCCCACCCACUUGCCAAUAUCACCUUGUUCUUAUGUAGGCUGUGUUUCAGCCAGCUUAAGCCUUACUAACAAAUGAGGUGAAAUCCAUCUGAGGAGGAAGCCGGGGCAUGGUGGAUUGAAAUAGCUUGCCUCAGGAGCAGAAAAUUUGGUGUGGAUCAAGAAAUAGAACUCCAAAGUAUACCUUUCCAGUCAUUGGCUUUAGCUGGAGCCAGCAUCCUUCAAUGAAUCAGUCAACAUUUACCUAUCUGUUCCCCACAGCAGUUUUGCAAAUCGCUUUCAGAAAUCAUUGAACCACUAACAGUUUAUCCACUCUGCAAAAUAUACACAGCUCUUCCCAUAUCCAGGAGGGUUAUCCCUUCUCAGCUGCGUUCAACACUUUUUACAACCCCUGAUUUCAAUAAGCAGAAUACAUCCACCUGCUUAGGGAAAUUACUCUUACCAUAUAAUUGCCUCUUAUGUUGAAAUGUCCAUGAGACCCUCUCAUGAAAUAGGGGACAAGAUAAAGCACAGAUUUUCCCCCAACUCAAACAUGCCUGUCUCAUACAUGUCAUGCCCUUGGAAAUGGCCAACACUGCUCUCUGCCUCCUGUUUAGGGUUAAGGCUUUCACUAUCUCUUGCCACCUCUGAUGAAAUUACUAACAAAUAUAUUAUCCUUACCCUUUGUCUUCUAUUCCAGCACUUCAAAUGCAUCAAAGGUCCAGAGAGAAGCUUCUUCUGGUCACCUUGAUCUUGUGAUGCAAGGCAGGUGGGAGCAAGGGCUCCACCUCUGCAGACACAGAGAUGACGGGGUCGCCAUGCCGGCGUUUUAGUCCCGGUUUCCUCUGCUCGAGUAGUUGGUGGCCUCCUGCCUGUUCCCUAACAUAACUUCACUUUCCUUACCUGCAAAACGAAAUUAGUAUUUCCUCCCUCACAAGGUGCUUGAUGCCCUUCCCCUUGCGUUUACUUUGCCUGAGAGACUAUAUCAUAUCUAUGAUUUUGUGAAUGGGGCAAAAGGAAUUGAGAGUGUCAGGGUAUACCUUAUAAAUAAGCCACUAAAGGUUACAUCCUCAUUCCACAAACUGACCUAAACAAUUUGGCUGUCACUAAUAGAUUAUUUUGGUCAGUUAUGGCAUUUAGAGGGAGAAGAGAGAGUAUAUAUAUAUGGGUGGGGUGUGUGUGUAUGCGUGUGUAUGUGUGUGUUUACAGUCAAAAUACCAAAAUAUAUCUAUGUAUAUAAAUAUAUUUGCUUUCUUUGUUUUUGUUACAAUAAACUUGUACAUACAAUUCUGACACACAUAUUUUCAUAUGUAGGCACAAAAAUAGUCAUACAAAAAAUACCACAAAAGGUAAUAACAAAGUGGAAGAAGACAUAGGAACAGAGAACAAACCAACACAUAGAAAAAGUAACAAACAUGGUAGAUACGAAUCCAGCUAUAUCAAUAAUCGCGUUAAACAUCAAUGGUCUUAAAUAUACUAGACAGUGGAAUAUUAUUCAGCAUUGAAAAGAAAUGACCUAUCAAGCCAUGAAAGACAAGGAGGAACCUUAAAUGCAUGUUACUGAGUGAAAGAAGCCAAUCUGAAAAGGCUGCAUCCUGCAGGAUUCUGACUCUAUGACAUUCUGGAAAAGGUAAAACUACUAAGACAGUGAAAAGAUCAGUAGCUGCCAGGGGUUACGGGAAGGGGAUGAUGAAUAAGUGGGGCACAGCAUUUUGAGGAGGUGAAACUACUCUGUAGGAUACUGUAACAGUAAAUCCAUGUCAUUAUAUGUUUGUACACACCCAUAGAACACCAGGAGGACAGCACCAAGAGGGAGCCCUAGUGUGAACUGUGGACUCUGGUUGGUAAUGAUGUGCCUGUGAAGCUUCAUUGUUUGCAGCAAAUGCAUCAGUGUGGUGGGGGAUGUUUCUAAAUUGAUAAUGAAGGACGCCAUAGGUGUAUGGGGGCAGAGAGUUUAUGAGAAAUCUGUACCUUUUGCUCAAUUUUACUGAACAUAAAACUGCUGAAGCCAUCAUUCUCAGCAAACUAACCCAGGAGCAGAAAACCAAACGCCGCAUGUUCUCACUCAUAAGUGGGAGUUGAACAAUGAGAACACAUGGACACAGGGAGGGGAACAUCGUCACACACCGGAGCCUGUCGCAGGGUGGGGAGCUGGGGGAGGGAGAGCAUUAAGACAAAUACCUAAUGCAUGUGGGGCUUAAAACCUAGAUGAUAGGUUGAUAGGUGCAGCAAACCACCAUGGCACAUGUAUACCUAUGUAACAAACCUGCACAUUCUGCACAUGUAUCCCAGAACUUAAAGUAAAAUAUAUUAAAAAAAUUAAAGUCUAUUUUAAAAAAAGAAAAACAAUCAGCUAACCUACUUUGGUAGCUCUGUUCUGCGCUGUCGGGUCUUCCAUCCUAGCGUGUGACACAGGAGGGUUUCGCUGGCAGGACCCGCCCACUGCACAUGCAGGUUCAGGUGACAGAGACCUCUGGAAAGAUGAGGCCCGUGGGAGCAGGGGGCUUCUUGUUGACACUGAAGGUCAGGCUUCAGGAAUGCCAGGGGCUCAUAAAAUCUUUUUCACUGAACAUUAUGCUGAGCAGGAUUCAUUUUACCAGUGAAAAAAUAUUUCUGACAUCCUUUGUGCUUUUUAACAAAGCCUGUGGUGUGGAUUUGCAUGAUUCUUAGAUUGCUGAGUAACCACUUCGGGAGGGUUCUUGAUUAGGGCACUAAAAAUGUUAACACAACACCCGUGGGAUGUAGAUUAAGGUCAACUUGUCCUUGUGCGUCUCUCCUAGUGUUGAUGGCAGAGUCUUAGUAUUUCAGCUGACGAAAUCUCUGCCCAUUCUCUUCCAAUGUUCCCUAAUAAGCUACAGGAGGACAGAGACAAAAGUUUGACUUCAUUAGUAACUUUUGGAAGUUGCCCAAUUUAGGAAAAAGAGUUAAUAAAUCAGGAAUUUUAUAAGAACUUUUUGUUAAAUCUGUAGUUAUUCAAAUCAGCCUCAGCAUGAUAAGACAACACUACAGGUUAUUAUAAAUAGUUGAAAAAGAAAAAUUAAAUUCCAACCAAACAAUUGAUCCUUAACUUUUUUUUUUUUUGAGA
rnacentral:lncRNA from 10 species